AGAUGGUGGACUCUGUUCUCCUGGUGAAGCUGUGUGUUUUGUGGUUGUGAUAACCCUAAACUUGUGUAGCUGUUGGUGUGAAUAGUGUGUAUUAGAGUGUUUGUACUUCUUUUCACUAGUGAUGGAAUGGGGGGCUUAAAGCAAGCGCAGUCAAGUCAAGGCAAGGGCAGAGGAUGAAAAACUGGAUAAAGCGCAGGAUUAGCAAUCCACGGCAGAGCCGGGAUUCCUAAUUGGAUGUUGUGUGGUGGAGGACCCAGGGGAUUCACACUGUUCUAUCUCUUGGAGGUGCCGUGUUGGGGUGAAGGCCAGGAAGGGAUUUCAUGGUCGGCUGCAGAAGGCAAUCCAUCCUCUGUCAUCCAUGUCUCCUUCACUGGGAUUGACAGGCACACAGAAGAAUGUCGUGUAAGACAGGAAAAAAAUGAGAGAUGCACUCACCGACCUCUUUAUUAGGAACAUCUGUAUAAUUGCAUAUUCAUGUAAUUAUCCAAUCAGCCAAUCAUACAGCAGCAGCAGCAGCAGCACAAUGCAUAACAUUGCACAGAUACAGGUCAAGAGAUUCUGUUCAUGUUCACAUCAAACAUUAGUUUGCCCCACAUCAUUCUUUUUACAUAAUCUAUCAGGAUUGAUAUAUAAUGCAUUGCUUAGCCCUAACAGUUUCAUUGUUGAGCUAUUGAUAGAUAUUAGAUAUUUUUAUUAGAUAUUAGAUUAUUAUUUUUUGCACAUAUCUGCGCAGUGUAUGUAUGAAACGACUUGUCCAUCUAGAUGAUCUGCGAGGACCCAGGUGCUUACUUACACAACAGCCUCAAGUCAACACACACCAGCCAAGAGCUAGAUGAACAUGAAUCCUUGGGGGAAUAGAAAGUGCUGGAUGACUUGCUGGAAUUUUAUCACAGUUGACAGGUUUCAUAUGAGUAUUUUUCUUUUUUUUCCUGAGAUGAUUUAUUUUUUUCUCACUCUAUUCUUUCCACACCUCUUUUGUCUUUAUCAUGGCCUCCAAGGCUUCCUUUCGCGAUCAAUGCGCAUGGCUUGUGGUUCUAAGCCGGCAUAAAAAUGAUAAACAGAUUGAAAACAAAGCCCAAUGGCUGCUUUAAAGCUGCCAUUAUUUACUGGCUAUCCAUAAUUUCCCCACAGUUGUGAAAUGGCUCAUAGGCUUGUUUCCUUUCCAUUUACUUUUCUUGAAUAAAAUGUUGAACAAUUUUAAA